rnacentral:rRNA from 1 species
AGAGUUUGAUCCUGGCUCAGGAUGAACGCUAGCUACAGGCUUAACACAUGCAAGUCGAGGGGCAGCAUGAACUUAGCUUGCUAAGUUUGAUGGCGACCGGCGCACGGGUGAGUAACGCGUAUCCAACCUACCCUUGUCCAUCGGAUAACCCGUCGAAAGGCGGCCUAACACGAUAUGCGGUUCACAGCGGGCAUCUAACGUGAACGAAAUGUGAAGGAGAAGGAUGGGGAUGCGUCUGAUUAGCUUGUUGGCGGGGUAACGGCCCACCAAGGCUACGAUCAGUAGGGGUUCUGAGAGGAAGGUCCCCCACAUUGGAACUGAGACACGGUCCAAACUCCUACGGGAGGCAGCAGUGAGGAAUAUUGGUCAAUGGACGAGAGUCUGAACCAGCCAAGUAGCGUGCAGGAUGACGGCCCUAUGGGUUGUAAACUGCUUUUAUAGGGGGAUAAAGUGUGUCACGUGUGGCAUAUUGCAGGUACCCUAUGAAUAAGGACCGGCUAAUUCCGUGCCAGCAGCCGCGGUAAUACGGAAGGUCCAGGCGUUAUCCGGAUUUAUUGGGUUUAAAGGGAGCGUAGGCCGUUUGGUAAGCGUGUUGUGAAAUGUCGGGGCUCAACCUGGGCAUUGCAGCGCGAACUGCCAGACUUGAGUGCGCAGGAAGUAGGCGGAAUUCGUCGUGUAGCGGUGAAAUGCUUAGAUAUGACGAAGAACUCCGAUUGCGAAGGCAGCCUGCUGUAGCGCAACUGACGCUGAAGCUCGAAAGCGUGGGUAUCGAACAGGAUUAGAUACCCUGGUAGUCCACGCGGUAAACGAUGGAUGCUCGCUGUUUGCGUCUGACGUAAGCGGCCAAGCGAAAGCGUUAAGCAUCCCACCUGGGGAGUACGCCGGCAACGGUGAAACUCAAAGGAAUUGACGGGGGCCCGCACAAGCGGAGGAACAUGUGGUUUAA